CUCUGGGAUAAAACUCAGUCAUCAUCUUGCAGUGACUUACCAGUCUCCUCAGGCUUCCUCCUCAAAAUGAAGUUGCCUGUUUGGUUGUUGGUGCUGCUGGUGUUCAGGAUUCCUGCUUCCAGAGGGGAUGUUGUGAUGACCCAAACUCCAACCUCCUUGCUUGUCAGCCUUGGAGAACAAGCCUCUAUCACCUGCCGGUCUAGUCAGAGCCUUGUACAUAGUAGUGGGAAUACCUAUUUGAAUUGGUACCUGCAGAGGCCAGGCCAAUCUAUACAGUCCCUGAUCUACAGGGUUUCCAACCAUUUUACUGGGGUCUCAGACAGAAUCAGUGGCAGUGGGUCAGUCACAGAUUUCACACUCAAGAUCAGCAGAGUAGAGUCUGAAUAUUUGGGAGUUUAUUACUGCAUGCAGAGAUCACAUGUUCCUCCCACAAUGAUGCAGACCCUAACAAAAACAUACUUAGUCGGCAUGGUCCAGAUGUCAGAUGUGUUACAUAUCUCUGAGACAACGAGAGGUGCUGGCGAAAUCCAGGGAACAAGCAGCAUCAACAAACCAAACUUAGGUUUCCUGGACAAAUCUGGAGAGAGCAUGGUGUGGAUCAAUGCAAUGUGA